UGGAUAAAGCAGCGGCCUUCUAAGCCGUUGACACUGGUUCGAGUCCAGUACGGGGUG
rnacentral:tRNA from 1 species